rnacentral:rRNA from 1 species
UCGAACGCUUCUUUUUCCACCGGAGCUUGCUCCACCGGAAAAAGAAGAGUGGCGAACGGGUGAGUAACACGUGGGUAACCUGCCCAUCAGAAGGGGAUAACACUUGGAAACAGGUGCUAAUACCGUAUAACAAUCAAAACCGCAUGGUUUUGAUUUGAAAGGCGCUUUCGGGUGUCGCUGAUGGAUGGACCCGCGGUGCAUUAGCUAGUUGGUGAGGUAACGGCUCACCAAGGCCACGAUGCAUAGCCGACCUGAGAGGGUGAUCGGCCACAUUGGGACUGAGACACGGCCCAAACUCCUACGGGAGGCAGCAGUAGGGAAUCUUCGGCAAUGGACGAAAGUCUGACCGAGCAACGCCGCGUGAGUGAAGAAGGUUUUCGGAUCGUAAAACUCUGUUGUUAGAGAAGAACAAGGAUGAGAGUAACUGUUCAUCCCUUGACGGUAUCUAACCAGAAAGCCACGGCUAACUACGUGCCAGCAGCCGCGGUAAUACGUAGGUGGCAAGCGUUGUCCGGAUUUAUUGGGCGUAAAGCGAGCGCAGGCGGUUUCUUAAGUCUGAUGUGAAAGCCCCCGGCUCAACCGGGGAGGGUCAUUGGAAACUGGGAGACUUGAGUGCAGAAGAGGAGAGUGGAAUUCCAUGUGUAGCGGUGAAAUGCGUAGAUAUAUGGAGGAACACCAGUGGCGAAGGCGGCUCUCUGGUCUG